rnacentral:rRNA from 1 species
AGAGUUUGAUCCUGGCUCAGGACGAACGCUGGCGGCGUGCCUAAUACAUGCAAGUCGAACGCACUCUCGUUUAGAUUGAAGGAGCUUGCUCCUGAUUGAUAAACAUUUGAGUGAGUGGCGGACGGGUGAGUAACACGUGGGUAACCUGCCCUAAAGUGGGGGAUAACAUUUGGAAACAGAUGCUAAUACCGCAUAAAACCUAACACCGCAUGGUGUAGGGUUGAAAGAUGGUUUCGGCUAUCACUUUAGGAUGGACCCGCGGUGCAUUAGUUAGUUGGUGAGGUAAAGGCUCACCAAGACCGUGAUGCAUAGCCGACCUGAGAGGGUAAUCGGCCACACUGGGACUGAGACACGGCCCAGACUCCUACGGGAGGCAGCAGUAGGGAAUCUUCCACAAUGGACGAAAGUCUGAUGGAGCAACGCCGCGUGAGUGAAGAAGGUUUUCGGAUCGUAAAACUCUGUUGUUGGAGAAGAAUGUAUCUGAUAGUAACUGAUCAGGUAGUGACGGUAUCCAACCAGAAAGCCACGGCUAACUACGUGCCAGCAGCCGCGGUAAUACGUAGGUGGCAAGCGUUGUCCGGAUUUAUUGGGCGUAAAGCGAGCGCAGGCGGUUUCUUAAGUCUGAUGUGAAAGCCUUCGGCUCAACCGAAGAAGUGCAUCGGAAACUGGGAAACUUGAGUGCAGAAGAGGACAGUGGAACUCCAUGUGUAGCGGUGAAAUGCGUAGAUAUAUGGAAGAACACCAGUGGCGAAGGCGGCUGUCUGGUCUGUAACUGACGCUGAGGCUCGAAAGCAUGGGUAGCAAACAGGAUUAGAUACCCUGGUAGUCCAUGCCGUAAACGAUGAGUGCUAGGUGUUGGAGGGUUUCCGCCCUUCAGUGCCGCAGCUAACGCAUUAAGCACUCCGCCUGGGGAGUACGACCGCAAGGUUGAAACUCAAAGGAAUUGACGGGGGCCCGCACAAGCGGUGGAGCAUGUGGUUUAAUUCGAAGCAACGCGAAGAACCUUACCAGGUCUUGACAUCCUUUGACCACUCUAGAGAUAGAGCUUUCCCUUCGGGGACAAAGUGACAGGUGGUGCAUGGUUGUCGUCAGCUCGUGUCGUGAGAUGUUGGGUUAAGUCCCGCAACGAGCGCAACCCUUAUUACUAGUUGCCAGCAUUUAGUUGGGCACUCUAGUGAGACUGCCAGGGAUAACCUGGAGGAAGGUGGGGAUGACGUCAAAUCAUCAUGCCCCUUAUGACCAGGGCUACACACGUGCUACAAUGGCGUAAACAAAGGGAAGCGAGCCCGCGAGGGGGAGCAAAUCCCAAAAAUAACGUCUCAGUUCGGAUUGUAGUCUGCAACUUGACUACAUGAAGCUGGAAUCGCUAGUAAUCGCGAAUCAGAAUGUCGCGGUGAA